GAUGAAGAACGCAGCGAAAUGCGAUAAGUAAUGUGAAUUGCAGAAUUCAGUGAAUCAUCGAAUCUUUGAACGCACAUUGCGCCCGCUGGUAUUCCGGCGGGCAUGCCUGUUCGAGCGUCAUUUCAACCCUCAAGCUCUCCGGAGUUUGGUGUUGGGGCGCCUGGGGCUUUUCGACCUCAGGGCCCUCAAGUCCAUCGGCGGGACCGCCAGGACACUGAGCGCAGUAGUAUUAUUUCGCUCGGUAGGAUCUUCCACGGCGGGUCGAUCUGGCCGCUAAACCCCCCAAUUCUCACCAAAGGUUGACCUCGGAUGAGGUAGGAAUACCCGCUGAACUUAAGCAUAUCAAUAAGCGGAGGA
rnacentral:misc_RNA from 1 species